GGGUGUUGUGAAGUCACCCCUGUAGUCAUGUGACAUAGGCCCAUUGACUUGCAGGUGAUCUGUGUCUCAGCUGGGAAUCCAGAUCACUGCUCCCAGGCAGGGAGGAAUGUGCGCAGGCCCCUCUGGUUCAGCUGUUGCGUCUGUGAGCGUCAGAGUCUGGAGCCAAACCACAAACAGAUCCCUUCUGUUGUCUCCAGGUGUAGGAGAAGAACCAGUCCUACAGAGCAAAGCUGUAUAAAGGGCAGUGCUGGGGGAACAUCCCUGCUAGUGAGGCAGAGAUGGGGAUGCAAAUGGUCUGGUAUCUGUUCAUCUGUUACAUGGCUGCAAGAUGCUCAGGUGCUGAGAUCAACCAAACCGCGAGUCUGGUCCUGGAAAAGGGACACCAAGCCCAGCUCAUAUGUAAACAAACCUAUGGGCAUAACAACAUGUUCUGGUACCGGCAGGACCCAGGACAGGGUUUGCAGCUGCUCUUCCUCUUUGUUCAUAAAGAGCUAACAGACAAAGGAGGUGCAGAGGUCCGCUUCAAUCAGACACUGAGUCUGGUACUGGAGAGAGGAAAAAUAGCGGAGCUACAAUGUGAACAAAAUACUAAUUAUGAUUACAUGUACUGGUACCAGCAGCUUCAGGGCAAAGGAUUGCACCUGAUCUAUUACUCCUAUGAUACAGCUAAAGUCGAGCCAGGGAAUAUUUCUGAGAGAUUCACAGCCACCCGUCCACAAACUCAGCUCUUUCAGUUGAAAAUCUCACCUCUGAAGCCUGAGGACUCAGCUGUGUAUUUCUGCGCCAGCAGAUUAGACACAGUGCUUCAGAGCCACCUCCUCCCUCAACAAAAAACAGUUCCCCUUCCUGAACACCACUUCAGAGAGAGGAACGCCACCUCCUCAUCUCCCAUAGAGGAGGGAGGUGUACUGACACACAAAGGAAAAUAG